rnacentral:misc_RNA from 1 species
GCACAACCCUCAACUUCUCUUCCCGUAUCACUACCUCCUGCAACUCCCAGUCCUGUCCUGGCCGAUCAAAACCACCCCAUCCGCCAUAUUCUCUUUCUCUCCCAUCCGCAAGGCAAGACUCUCACUUCCGUAUCUCCUCGUGGUGUCAAGGAAGGGGGUUCACUUGAAGCUGCUGGUGGAGACACGGGUAGAAGUCUGGAGCUCCGCCAUAGACGUGCUUCGCUGGAACACUGUGCGCAACACAUCGCCGACGCCACCCCGACUGAUAUCGGGUCGUUCGUGGAGUCUGAGGGAAUUGCAGGAGAGGACCCUGAGAAGCAGCAACUUGGUGAAGGUACUUGAUACAUGUUGGGAAUGAGGGGAGUAGCAGCACGUCCACUUUCACUCUCACAAUAACGCUGCCCAGGCGCAGCCAUGAUUUAAUUAGAAACUUAUUGUCAAAGGAAGUUUGUUUAUUUUUUUAUAUGGUCGUGCGCACUGGUUAAUUCAGUUCAGGUCGUAUGUUUAUCUUUCCUUGCUAGCCGAUUAAUAAUACUUAGUAUGUUUUAGUCAUGAUAUAUGUUUAUACUCUGUUGCCCCCUCUUUUAUGCAAUCUUGCAAAGGGGAUGCUGCCGAAAUUUUAUAUAUGGACGUCGCAAGUGUAGUACAGUAGCAUUACGGGUUGUUUGUGGAAC